rnacentral:snoRNA from 1 species
UGUCAACCAUGGUAUUCUUGCCUGACUCUCACAUGGAGGUGAAAUACUGAUUUAAUGAGCCUGACAC